rnacentral:tmRNA from 1 species
GGGGAUGUCAGGUUUCGACAGGGCCCAGGAACCGGGAAUCGCGAGCCGAGGUCGCCCGCAGGCCUCGUAAAACCGCGGGCAAACCGUAACUGGCAACCGUCAGUUCGCUCUCGCUGCUUAGGCAGUGAGCAUCGACGCCGUCCCCUCUCCCCGGGCGGCGAAGGUGUCAUUUGGGGAGAUGCGACGUCGCCGACUCCGGUGAGUGGCGUCAAAGAGCCGAGAGGCAACCGGAUAGGGCGCGGAGCACCCCGCCGGUUGGGGGCCCGAGGCCCGAAACCCAAAUAGGCCGGACACGCUCGUAGUGAGACCCGGCGACAUGGUCUUGGACGGGGAGUUCGAUUCUCCCCCAUCUCCACCA